AACAGGCCAUAGAAUAAUUAGCAGUAAAGUACCCUGGAGAAGAGAAAUAAAAGGGAUAGCAGGAAUGUGUAAAGGUGGAGAGAUCAGUCAGAACAGGCCAUAGAAUAAUUAGCAGUAAAGUACCCUGGAGAAGGGAAAUAAAAGGGAUAGCAGGAAUGUGUAAAGGUGGAGAGAUCAGUCAGAACAGGCCAUAGAAUAAUUAGCAGUAAAGUACCCUGGAGAAGAGAAAUAAAAGGGAUAGCAGGAAUGUGUAAAGGUGGAGAGAUCAGUCAGAACAGGCCAUAGAAUAAUUAGCAGUAAAGUACCCUGGAGAAGAGAAAUAAAAGGGAUAGCAGGAAUGUGUAAAGUACCCUGGAGAAGGGAAAUAAAAGGGAUAGCAGGAAUGUGUAAAGGUGGAGAGAUCAGUCAGAACAGGCCAUAGAAUAAUUAGCAGUAAAGUACCCUGGAGAAGAGAAAUAAAAGGGAUAGCAGGAAUGUGUAAAGGUGGAGAGAUCAGUCAGAACAGGCCAUAGAAUAAUUAGCAGUAAAGUACCCUGGAGAAGAGAAAUAAAAGGGAUAGCAGGAAUGUGUAAAGUACCCUGGAGAAGGGAAAUAAAAGGGAUAGCAGGAAUGUGUAAAGGUGAAGAGAUCAGUCAGAACAGGCCAUAGAAUAAUUAGCAGUAAAGUACCCUGGAGAAGAGAAAUAAAAGGGAUAGCAGGAAUGUGUAAAGGUGGAGAGAUCAGUCAGAACAGGCCAUAGAAUAAUUAGCAGUAAAGUACCCUGGAGAAGGGAAAUAAAAGGGAUAGCAGGAAUGUGUAAAGGUGGAGAGAUCAGUCAGAACAGGCCAUAGAAUAAUUAGCAGUAAAGUACCCUGGAGAAGGGAAAUAAAAGGGAUAGCAGGAAUGUGUAAAGGUGGAGAGAUCAGUCAGAACAGGCCAUAGAAUAAUUAGCAGUAAAGUACCCUGGAGAAGGGAAAUAAAAGGGAUAGCAG